rnacentral:rRNA from 1 species
AAUGAACGCUGGCGGCAUGCCUUACACAUGCAAGUCGAACGGCAGCAUGACCUAGCUUGCUAGGUUGAUGGCGAGUGGCGAACGGGUGAGUAAUGCAUCGGAACGUGCCUUUUAGUGGGGGAUAACGUAGCGAAAGUUACGCUAAUACCGCAUAUUCUCUGAGGAGGAAAGCAGGGGACCUUCUGGCCUUGCGCUCGAAGAGCGGCCGCUGUCGGAUUAGCUAGUUGGUGAGGUAAAGGAUCACCAAGGCAACGAUCCGUAGCGGGUCUGAGAGGAUGAUGAGCCACGCGGGAAGGGAGACAGGGUGAAGACGCCGGCGGGAGGCAGCAGUGGGGAAGGGUGGACAAUGGGCGCAAGCCUGAUCCAGCCAUCCCGCGUGGGUGAAGAAGGCCUUCGGGUUGUAAAGCGCUUUUGGUGGGAAAGAAAAGGAGCAGGUUAAUACACAGCUGUGCUGACGGUACCCGAAGAAUAAGCACCGGCUAACUUAGUG